rnacentral:rRNA from 1 species
AUUGAACGCUGGCGGCAUGCUUUACACAUGCAAGUCGAGCGGCAGCGCGGGGGCAACCCUGGCGGCGAGCGGCGAACGGGUGAGGAAUACAUCGGAACGUACCCCGGAGUGGGGGAUAACGCCGCGAAAGCGGCGCUAAUACCGCAUAUGCUCUGUGGAGGAAAGUGGGGGACCCGCAAGGGCCUCACGCUCUGGGCGCGGCCGAUGUCCGAUUAGCUAGUUGGUGAGGUAAUGGCUCACCAAGGCGACGAUCGGUAGCUGGUCUGAGAGGAUGAUCAGCCACACUGGGACUGAGACACGGCCCAGACUCCUACGGGAGGCAGCAGUGGGGAAUUUUGGACAAUGGGGCAACCCUGAUCCAGCCAUGCCGCGUGCGGGAAGAAGGCC